rnacentral:rRNA from 1 species
AGUGAACGUUGGCGGCAUGCUUAACACAUGCAAGUCGAACGGUAACAGGUCUAGCUUGCUAGAUGCUGACGAGUGGCGGACGGGUGAGUAACGCGUGGGAAUCUGCCUUCUAGUGGGGGAUAGCCCGGAGAAAUCCGGAUUAAUACCGCAUACGCCCUACGGGGGAAAGCCGGGGAGUCUUCGGACCUGGCGCUAGUAGAUGAGCCCGCGUGAGAUUAGCUUGUUGGUGGGGUAAUGGCCUACCAAGGCAACGAUCUCUAGCUGGUCCGAGAGGACGAUCAGCCACACUGGGACUGAGACACGGCCCAGACUCCUACGGGAGGCAGCAGUGGGGAAUAUUGGACAAUGGGCGAAAGCCUGAUCCAGCAAUGCCGCGUGUGUGAAGAAGGCCUGAGGGUUGUAAAGCACUUUCAAUCGUGAAGAAAAGUUAGCAGGCUAAUACCCUGUGACCUUGACGUUAACGAUACAAGAAGCACCGGCUAACUCCGUGCCAG